rnacentral:rRNA from 1 species
UACGUAGGGGGGCUAGCGUUGUCCGGAAUCAUUGGGCGUAAAGAGCGCGUAGGCGGCUAGAUAAGUCCGGUGUGAAAGUCACAGGCUCAACCUGUGAAUGCCGCUGGAAACUGUCUGGCUAGAGUCCGGAAGGGGCGAGUGGAAUUCCUGGUGUAGCGGUGAAAUGCGCAGAUAUCAGGAGGAACACCGAUGGCGAAGGCAGUUCUCUGGGCCGUAACUGACGCUGAGGAGCGAAAGCGUGGGGAGCGAACAGGG